AAGGAAUGCUACCUGGUUGAUCCUGCCAUUAUUCAUAUGCUUGUCUCAAAAAUUAAC
rnacentral:rRNA from 1 species